rnacentral:tRNA from 1 species
AGUUACUCGCCGGGGGCAUAUCCUGUCUUGAAAACAGAAUUUAAGUGUUCGAGUCACUUAGUAACUU